rnacentral:other from 1 species
UAAUUCCUGCUUAGUGCGUGAUAAGGUAAUGUAUUCGAGCUACAAUUAUUAAAAGGAGUCCAAUAUCCAAUGUUGGGAUGCAGGCCUCCUGCCCAGCCUCUCUUAAUGAGACUUUUCAGUCGGUCAGGCUACGGCAGAUGUUGGAAGCAACAAAGACAUUAUGAGGACACCACCUUGUUACAGACAAGGUUCAAAUGGUUGCCUUACACGGCUCGGUGGGAAUUUU